rnacentral:rRNA from 1 species
GACGAACGCUGGCGGCGUGCUUAACACAUGCAAGUCGAACGAUGAAGCCGGAGCUUGCUCUGGUGAAUUAGUGGCGAACGGGUGAGUAACACGUGAGUAACCUGCCCUUGACUCUGGGAUAACUGCGGGAAACUGUAGCUAAUACCGGAUACGACCCUCGGAGGCAUCUCCUGGGGGUGGAAAGAAUUUCGGUCAAGGAUGGACCCGCGUCGCAUUAGCUAGUUGGUGAGGUAACGGCUCACCAAGGCAACGAUGCGUAGCCGACCUGAGAGGGUGAUCGGCAACACUGGGACUGAGACACGGCCCAGACUCCUACGGGAGGCAGCAGUAGGGAAUCUUCCGCAAUGGACGAAAGGCUGACGGAGCAACGCCGCGUGAGUGAUGAAGGCUUUCGGGUCGUAAAACUCUGUUGUUAGGGAAGAACAAGUGCUAGUUGAAUAAGCUGACACCUUGACGGUACCUAACCAGAAAGCCACGGCUAACUACGUGCCAGCAGCCGCGGUAA